UGGGGAAUAUUGGACAAUGGGGGGAACCCUGAUCCAGCCAUGCCGCGUGUGUGAAGAAGGCCUUAUGGUUGUAAAGCACUUUAAGCGAGGAGGAGGGUACUGGUAUUAAUACUACCAGGUACGGACGUUACUCGCAGAAUAAGCACCGGCUAACUCUGUGCCAGCAGCCGCGGUAAUACAGAGGGUGCGAGCGUUAAUCGGAUUUACUGGGCGUAAAGCGUGCGUAGGCGGCUAAUUGAGUCGGAUGUGAAAUCCCCGAGCUUAACUUGGGAAUUGCAUUCGAUACUGGUUAGCUAGAGUGUGGGAGAGGAUGGUAGAAUUCCAGGUGUAGCGGUGAAAUGCGUAGAGAUCUGGAGGAAUACCGAUGGCGAAGGCAGCCAUCUGGCCUAACACUGACGCUGAGGUACGAAAGCAUGGGGAGCAAACAGG
rnacentral:rRNA from 1 species